rnacentral:tRNA from 1 species
UGGCUAAAUGAUAGAGCGUUCGACUCAAAUACCAAAGGUCGCGGGUUCGAAUCCCAC